rnacentral:rRNA from 1 species
CCUAAGGCGAGGCCGAAAGGCGUAGUCGAUGGGAAACAGGUAAAUAUACCUGUACUUGGUGUUACUGAGAAGGGGGGACGGAGAAGGCUAUGUUAGACGGGCGACGGUUGUCCCGGUUUAAGCAUGUAGGCGGAGGUUCCAGGUAAAUCCGGUACCUUUUAACGCAGAGGUGUGAUGACGAGGCACUACGGUGAUGAAGUAACAAAUGCACUGAUUCCAGGAAAUGCCUCUAAGC